UACGUAGGGGGCAAGCGUUGUCCGGAUUUAUUGGGCGUAAAGAGCGUGUAGGCGGCCAGGUAGGUCCGUUGUGAAAACUCGAGGCUCAACCUCGAGACGCCGAUGGAAACCAUCUGGCUAGAGUCCGGAAGAGGAGAGUGGAAUUCCUGGUGUAGCGGUGAAAUGCGCAGAUAUCAGGAGGAACACCGGUGGCGAAGGCGGGUCUCUGGGCCGAUACUGACGCUGAGGAGCGAAAGCGUGGGGAGCAAACAGG
rnacentral:rRNA from 1 species